AAAGGGUUGUACGAGACACUACCCAUGCGUGCGAAAAAGAGCUAGUAAACGACACAAGUUUCGGGGGGUUUGUACAGCUAUUGGGCAAGACCAGUAAUGACUGUUUGCAGCUUACAGCCCUAGCUGAGAGGUGGUGGUAUACCACAAACACCCUGCACUUGCCAUUCGGAGAGGCCACACUGACACCCGUGGACUUUGCAGCGAUUACCGGAAUACGGGUUGAGGGAAAUUCAAUUCUGUUUGAUAUGGGGCUUUACAAGAAUAAGGUUGCUUUGGUCUACUUUUUCGGUCAAGUGCCUGAUAUGACCGACUCAGGUAUAUAGUGCAUUAUGUUUGGUUAUACACGACCUUUAAAAAUCAUACAUGCGUGACAUAGAGGAUUACGAGCACGUGACUCAAACUUUCCUACGGUACUUGUUUGGGGCCGCACUGUUUCCAACUAAGAAUAGUCAGGUUCACUUGCACAAUUUGGCGGGGACGAAGGAUUUGUCUACUGUCAGUGACUAUGAUUAGGGAGAUGUUGCAAUUGUCACACUUUAUAGCCAAAUGCCAUCUCUGGGGGAUGACACUUAGCAUGAGGGACAAUGGUGGGCUUGAGAGGUAUUGGCUUCAUUCCGGUUGAUUUUGCUUGUUUUCGCCUUUCAUUUACUCAUUUAUAAUCAUUAUCAACUUAACGGUUUGUAUCAAUGUUUUAUAUGGAGUUUCGAGUUCUUGAGGAUGCACGUUCCAAAAAACAAUUACGUGGACCAUCCCCCAAGGUUUGAUGUGAGCAUGAAACUCUAGGGGUCAGAAGGACUUGACGGCAUACCGUCUUUUCUAAGACUAGUUUACGAACGAAUAGGUAGACUUAUUUUUGUUUGGUUUCAUCGAAUCUUUCAAACUUCAAAGCUAUCUUCUUUAUUGUUCUUUGACAUUAGCUGUAGGGGAAUUGGGAUGUAUGGGUGAGAGUCGAUCCAGUGGUACAAGCUGAUUGGUUGAGGGAGUAGACGGGCCAUUGGUAGGAAGAUUUUGUUGGAGGGACCAUUUUGCAAACAGCGGAACCUGGGGGAGAGAGUGGUGAGGUAGUACUUGGGCUAUGACGUUUUCAAAGUGCCGAAGCCCGUUCUUUUUUCCAUGCUUAACAUGAGGAGCUUGACAAUAGGGGAAGUGGGGCAAUGGAUUGAGGGCAAGUUCUGCUUUUUCUGUGCUUAACAUGUGAAACUCAAUGUAUAGUCUGGCCGAAAGUAUUUAAGGUAAGACGUUUUAUGCUUUUUAGAUUUAGAGCUUUUUUAUGCAUGAUGGAGAGUGCUUGGGCAUUUUAAAUGGCCCGAGUAACUUUAUCAUAUACUAAACAUUAAAUUGUGUUAUUCCGAGUUGGAAAUUAUCGGAGUUUUCCAUUGUAUUGCUCUUUGUUGACUAGCUUAUGUAUUGUUUAUGUUUGAAAUUGAUGAGGAAUUAUGUUGAUCAUCAUUUCAUUUUCCUCUUUUGGUUCGAAUUCUCUUGUGAAAGUAGAUUUCCCUUAAAGUUUCCCUCGUAUUCUUUAGGAAAAGGAGAAAUGAGACAACGGUUCCCUUGACGGUUGUAUUUGAUGCAAAUAGCACAAUAACUAUAGUCCUGUUAACUUCCGGUAAAAUUGUCUUCGAGAUAAUCUAAUUUGUUUGAUUAGGAUCACGAAGUUUGUUUAGAAUAUUUUCUUCUGUUUCUUUUUUUGUUUUUCCUUUGCUCUGAAAUGCAGUUUUAUUUGUUAUACACCUUUGUAAAUUCUGUUUAUUCCGGAAAUGCUACGAUUUGCAUGGUCCUAUUUCUCUACGGGUCAGUUCGUUGGGACUCCACAGAAAGAGGAUUAUUUCCUUUGUGCAAAACUCUCCUGAUGCAGCUAGAGCUUGGGUAUCAACUUUACAGUAAGUUACAAGGAAGCUUGCCUUGGUAAAGUGCUUCAAUUGGUGGUUAGUCUAUUUUGACGUUGAGAGACGAAUUUGACUCUAUUCAUCUCAUGAUUUCUUCCUUUUGAAACAUGCUUUUACUUGUCGAAGUACUUGUACAUGCAUUUGGAAUGUAGUCCUAUCUAGGUAAUUCAUAAUGGCCCUACUCAGGGAUACACUUUUUGUAUCUUUGACAACGUUUACAGAAAUGGGAAUUUGGCAUUCCAUAUGUUUUUUCUUGUGAUGACUGAUGAACACCAUCUUAUCUUAAAAGGGCAACGCCAGUGAAAUUAUCAUUUAAACCUUUUCCUUUUAAGUUUCCAUCUAUUAACGGAAAUAAUAGUUGGGAAUAAGAAGCCUUUACUGUUAAUGUUUGUGCGACUUUGACCUUUUGCAUUUAGAUGUCACUUGAAGCAGACUAUACUGUCGUCUUUAUUCCAGAUUUUCCAAUUUCAUAGUCUCAUAUUUAAAGCAACGAAUUGUACAUUAUUGCUUCAAAAUUUCUAGGUUUUUUUUUAUUAUGCCACAGAUUCUAAAAUGUCUUACAGGAAUUCCUAAUUUAUGGGUGAAUACCGUCUAGCCUGGUAUGAGGUGUGUCUGCUCCUAUGCUGUUUAAGAUGUUGGGUGUUCCUUUUAUAUAUGAGAUAGAGCUUUCUAUGCUCAGUUGCCUUUAUCUAUGCCUUCAUUUUGAACACAUAUUGACUUCUUUGGAAGAGUAGCAACCUAGAAAACUCCUUUACUUGUAAAUUGUGAUAAUUAACAUUAUCUAACGGCUAUCGUUUGUUGUGUUCUUUCUGAAAAAUCAGUGCUACACAGUUGGUUCUUAAGCCACAUAAAGAGGCUGUGAAUUCUUUAAGUAAGAAUGGUUUUGCAACCAUAGUUGCUGCUGCCCCAGGAAGCUUCUAAAGAAAUUGAGGCUGCAAUGUAGAUUGUCCCGAGUAAUGCUCUUGGAUGGAUUAUGAGUAGAUCAAACUGAUGGUCCCAUGGAUGAUUUCAGGAUGAUAAAGGCAGACAAUGUUACCUCCUCUCUAUGAAUAGAUCUAAACUUUAUGUAUUUCUGAAAGUAGUACUCUAGGCGUUCCCGAUUCUUAGUUCCUUUGGGGAAAUUCAACAAAGGGCACAUAAUCAUUGCACUCUAUAAAUGGAAAACUUUGCUUAAAUUGUUAACUUAAAUUGUAAUUCUUAGUUUCUAGUUGGACUUGUGUAGUCAACUUAAAUUGUUUGGUCUUUUCUUUGCGUUCCUUGUGUUCUUUUGUAAAUGGGUGGUAUGCCCUUGAUGCCUUAUCAAUUCUAUUUGGGCUUUUCUUCAUGUUCCUCGCGUUCUCUAUGUUCAUGAUGUAUUGAAAGGUGAUCAAUUCAAAAUUCUUCAGCAAGAAAUAUUAGUACAGGUUUCUAGUGAUCAUUGUUCAUAUAAUUAUUAAACUCGGGUGGGCUUGCUUAAGCCUGUAAAUGUUGAGAGCUUGGUACGGCUUCUUCAUAAACCAAAUGUUUUGCUUGUCUAGGCUAUGCAUAUGCUAGGCUUCUUCAUAAUACAUUGCACAUGUCACUUUGCCCUCCUUACAUUUUCGUAGUGGUAAUUGAUUCACCUUUGUUUUCUUUUUUGUCUCAUUAGUUUGCCUAGGAGACAUUACGAGUCAAGGACAAAAAACUACAAUACUUGAGAGGGUCCUUUGCACGCUGAAUUCAACAAUAAAAGAGAUUGCAGAAAAAUUAGCUGAUAACUGCUGGAGCGGUUGAAGCUGCAGCAUCAGCUGCUCAUACUAUGGAUGAACAAAGGAAACUUGCUUGUGAGAUUGAGCGCUAAGCAAAGAUUCAGAAAAAAACAGUUUGCGUCAUCCUAGUUGAAGUUUAAAGAGUCUCAAGAAAAGGCUAUGGUUCUAAGUAAAGAAAAAAGAUCAACUAAUUAAGCAGGGGGAAUCUGCCCUUCAAGAAGAACAUUUAUGGCGUUCUGAGCUCGCAAAAGCUAGAUAGCAGGAUGUAAUAUUGGAAGGAGCUGUUGUUAGGGCUAAGGAGAAGGUCAGCAUUGCAAAGGCGGAUGCUGAAGCUAGAACAAUGGAAGCUCCACAAAAUGAGGCAGCAGCUUUAAAGGAGAAACAAGAGCUUCUUGCGUAUGUGAAAGUGUUACGAGCACAACUUAGAAGGCAACAUGUUGAUACAAAGCAAGUUUUUUUAGGAGAAGACGAGUCCUGUUCAGAAGACGGUAAUGCUCCACGGUAGACCCGUCAGAGGAGACUGUGGACAAGUCAUGUCUAAGUGUUUCCAUAGCAAUCCCAGUGUCCGGGAAAUUGUAGUUCAUAUGGCGGUGGAUCAAAUUAAUCUCGGCCCUCCAAUUGGAGACGGCGAAUGGAGUGAUAUUCAAGCGACAAAGGCAAAAAUAGCUGAUGCAAGAGAAAUUUCGCUAGAAGCAGAAGGGAAGCUUGGACAUACCUGUGCUCGGCCCACCAGUUAACAGUAACCAAUGUUUUCAGGCAUUUCUUGGUAUGAUAUGAAAAAUCGAUGCGACCAUUCUUGCAAAAGGCGUCCUCUGAUUACUUGUAAUCUUUUAGCACCCUUCUGAAAUCUUUUAGCAAUCUUAGAUCAUUUCAUAGUUUCCCUUGGAGAUCCUCUACUGCCAUAUCCUUGGCUGGCCCUAUACCCAACAGGGGUGGUGGCCAACUCUCACAGUCUGUGUCGUAAAGUCUACUAGUGUAUGUGCUCAUGUCGUGAUUUUGGUAGUUUUGGUUAUUUUUGUAUGUUGCAAUGGAAUCUUUGUAAUGCUUCCGGGCUUUGAAAAUGAAAUUGAUGGUUGAAAAAAAAUAUUAUGCCAUUCAUGAUC